rnacentral:rRNA from 1 species
UGGAGAAGUUUGAUCCUGGCUCAGAUUGAACGCUGGCGGCAGGCCUAACACAUGCAAGUCGAGCGGCAGCGGGAAAGUAGCUUGCUACUUUUGCCGGCGAGCGGCGGACGGGUGAGUAAUGCCUGGGAAAUUGCCCAGUCGAGGGGGAUAACAGUUGGAAACGACUGCUAAUACCGCAUACGCCCUACGGGGGAAAGCAGGGGACCUUCGGGCCUUGCGCGAUUGGAUAUGCCCAGGUGGGAUUAGCUUGUUGGUGAGGUAAUGGCUCACCAAGGCGACGAUCCCUAGCUGGUCUGAGAGGAUGAUCAGCCACACUGGAACUGAGACACGGUCCAGACUCCUACGGGAGGCAGCAGUGGGGAAUAUUGCACAAUGGGGGAAACCCUGAUGCAGCCAUGCCGCGUGUGUGAAGAAGGCCUUCGGGUUGUAAAGCACUUUCAGCGAGGAGGAAAGGUUGAUGCCUAAUACGUAUCAGCUGUGACGUUACUCGCAGAAGAAGCACCGGCUAACUCCGUGCCAGCAGCCGCGGUA